CCUACGGGGGGCAGCAGUGGGGAAUAUUGCGCAAUGGGCGAAAGCCUGACGCAGCGACGCCGCGUGAGGGAUGAAGGUCUUCGGAUCGUAAACCUCUGUCAGCAGGGAAGAACGGUCACUGUGCUAAUCAGCAGUGCAUUGACGGUACCUGCAAAGGAAGCACCGGCUAACUCCGUGCCAGCAGCCGCGGUAAGACGGACGGUGCGAGCAUUAAUCGGAAUUACUGGGCGUAAAGCGCCCGUAGGCGGUAUGUCAAGUCAAGGGUGAAAUCCCCGCGCUCAACGUGGGAACGGCCUUUGAAACUGGCAAACUGGAGUGUGUGAGAGGAGAGUAGAAUUCCAGGUGUAGGAGUGAAAUCCGUAGAUAUCUGGAGGAACAUCAGUGGCGAAGGCGACUAUCUGGCACAUAACUGACGCUGAGGAGCGAAAGCGUGGGUAGCAAACAGGAUUAGAUACCCUGGUAGUC
rnacentral:rRNA from 1 species